UUGAGUAUGCUGCUUGAUCCGUCACUGUCAGGCCGCGCGCAGUUAUGCAUGCGCCGUCCGCUCCUCUGCUGGGAAGCUGCAUGCGCCGCUUUAAUGCGCAGACCGCAUCAGGUUGUCAGAGAGCGUCUGGGAAGGACAGGACAUGUCGUCUUUCCUCCUGAUGGGAAUGCCGUGGUUCACAACACUGCUAACUCAUUUAUAAAACCUGGAUUUAAAGGUCAUGUGGUUUUUCUUUCUUGCAUCCCAAUUUAAUGCAGAGACUAGAAAGCCAUUCAUAGACUGAUUCCUGUGAAGAGAAUGUUUUUCUUUAAUUUAUGGAAGAAAAUGUAUUUUUUAUUUUUUAUAAUAUUUAUUUUAUUCUCUUCUAUUAUAUUCUGUUCUAUUUCAUUUUAAUGUAUUUUAUUUUAAUCUGUUUUUUUUAUUUUAUUUUAAUCUGUUUUUAAUUUAAUUUAAUUUAAUUUAAUUUAAUUUUGUUUUAUUUUAUUUUAUUUUAUUAUUUAUUUCAUUUUAUUUUAUUAUUCAUAGCACGGACUACUAGGCUGUCCAAAAUAGGCAUCUUAUAUAGUUUUAUGGAAUAUUUGGAAUAUAAAAUAGGCAGUUCUAUAUGAUUAUGUAAUUUUGCAGCAAAAUAACUAUAUCAUGAUACUAUUACUGUGAUUUAUUUUUAUAAAACUAACAUAUUGUUAUCUGGAAAACUAAACUCUGCUCUUUUAAGGCACAGACAGCACCAGCUUUCUUUCUCAUUCGUCUGAAGAACAAACCGUCUUCGGCUUUGAUAAGGUCCUGUCCGGGGCGAGUCCGCCCAUCAUCUGGAGGGGGGAGGGUUCGGAUCUCAAACCACGCGGUCCUCGGAUCAAACAGGUGUUACUCCUUCACCUGUGAGGCGAGAAUCAAAGACUGGCUUUAUCUCCAAGAGCUGCAGAGGAGGCCCGGCUCAUGAGACGCACACACAGGUUCAAAAGGAGCGCGAGAAGAAAGAGCAGAAGCCGCCUCUCGUCCUCUGAGGAUGUGAGGAUGUGCAUUCCUCUAACAAUCGCAGGAGUGCCGAUGCUGCUCAUGCCCUUACAGGAGACAUUUUAAGGGCUCAUAUGAAAGAAAACUCACAUACAGUAUCUCACAGAAGUGAGUACACCCUUCACAUUUUUGCUAAUAUUUUAUUAUAUCUUUUCAUGUGACAACACUGAAGAAAUGAUGCUUUGCUACAAUGUAAAGUAGUGAGUGUACAGCUUGUAUAACAGUGUAAAUUUGCUGUCCCCUCAAAAUAACUCAACACACAGCCAUUAAUGUCUAAACCGCUGGCCACAAAAGUGAGUACACCCCUAAGUGAAAAUGUCCAAAUUGGGCCCUAUUAGCCAUUUUCUCUCCCCGGUGUCAUGUGACUCAUUAGUGUUACAAGGUCUCCGGUGUGAAUGAGGAGCAGGUGUGUUAAAUUUGGUGUUAUCGCUCUCACUGUCUCAUACUGGUCACUGGAAGUUCAACAUGGCACCUCAUGGCAAAGAACUCUCUGAGGAUCUGAAAAAAAGAAUUAUUGCUCUACAUAAAGAUGGCAUAGGCUAUAAGAAGAUUGCCAAGACCCUGAAACUGAGCUGCAGCACGGUGGCCAAGACCAUACAGCGGUUUAACAGGACAGGUUCCACUCAGAACAGGCCUCGCCAUGGUCGACCAAAGAAGUUGAGUGCACGUGCUCAGCGUCAUAUCCAGAGGUUGUGUUUGGGAAAUAGACAUAUGAGUGCUGCCAGCAUUGCUGCAGAGGUUGAAGGGGUGGGGGGUCAGCCUGUCAGUGCUCAGACCAUACGCCGCACACUGCAUCAAAUUGGUCUGCAUGGCUGUCAUCCCAGAAGGAAGCCUCUUCUAAAGAUGGUGCACAAGAAAGCCCGCAAACAGUUUGCUGAAGACAAGCAGACUAAGGACGUGGAUUACUGGAACCAUGUCCUGUGGUCUGAUGAGACCAAGAUAAACUUAUUUGGUUCAGAUGGUGUCAAGCGUGUGUGGCGGCAAUCAGGUGAGGAGUACAAAGACAAGUGUGUCUUGCCUACAGUUGAGCAUGGUGGUGGGAGUGUCAUGGUCUGGGGCUGCAUGAGUGCUGCCGGCACUGGGGAGCUACAGUUCAUUGAGGGAACCAUGAAUGCCAACAUGUACUGUGACAUACUGAAGCAGAGCAUGAUCUUCAAUGAAAGGGUAAAAAGAUACAACUUUAACUUAGAUUUAAACUUAUAUACGGAGGAUACAGAUCUAACAGAUAAAGGAAGACCUCACAACAUCACCUCUCAACCUCAAUCUUGAUCUCUGAUAGGACAGGGUAUUAUUAUCUGUGGAUUGCAAGCAUCUGACCGGCUUAUUCAAGUUUAAAAGAAGUGCCUAACCAAUUAGGGAUUUAAAAACAAGCAACAGUACUUUAAAUUCAACUCUAUAAUGCACUGACAACCAAUUGAGAGACAUUAAAAUUGGACCAAUAUGUUCACAUUUACGGACCCCAGUUAAAAAUCUGCUUCGUUUUUGAACCAUUUGAAGCCGUGACAUAGAAGACUGGGAUAUUCCAAUAUAUAAGGAAUUACUGUAGUCCAAACCAGAUAAGAUGAAAACAUGUAUGACUCUUUCAAGAUCUUUAAAGACUUAACUUAAGACAGAUGUUUUAAUUGACAGAACCUUGACUUAACUACUGUAUUAAUAUGUUGGUCAAACUUAAGCAAGGAAUCAAAAAUAACUCCCAAAUUUUUCAGUCGGUUUGAUGUUGGAAUUUAAGUUGCCAGAAUAAAAAUGUGAUUUUUCCUUUACCCACAGAGGGCCCAAAAACAAUUCUUCCACUGUACUCUCAUUUAAGUGCAAAAAGUUUAAAGACAUCCAAAAUCCUAUAUCAGCUAAACAUGCAAGCAGGGUUUCUAAACCUUUCUUGUCAUUAUGUUUCAAAGGCAAAUAGAUGUGGGUGUCAUCUGCAUAAAAAUGAAAAGACACCCCAUGCUUCCUAAAAGUUGAACUUAAUGGAAACAUGUACAGAGAAAACAAGGUAGGACCCAAAAUAGAGCCUUGAGGAACACCACAGGUUAGAGGGGCUACGGAUGAAACAGAUCAUCCAAUACCUACUGAAAUGGUUCUACUACUAAGAUUAGAUUUAAACCAGCUAAAAGGAGAUGCCCACACACUGUUAAAGGCGCAAAAUACGAAUGCUAAAUUAGCAAGUGAUUCCUUACCAAGAGGCUUUGCUUUUCAAAAUCGGCACAUGAAAAGGCAUUUUAGUAACUCGUGCUUCAAUUGUUGUUUAGCAUCUUCUCAGCUUCACUGCAGGUGAGUUUUUUUUAGCCCAUAUAAGCAUUGAAUACUGUUUCUACUUUUUAUACCAGUUCAUUUGUUAAUGUAUUUUAAUAUUUUAUGUAUAUCUGUUCUUUUAAGGCACCCAGAACACGGAGCUACGAUGGCUAUUUUAAUUUUUUUUAUUUAGUUUUAUAUAUAUUUAUAUGUAAUAUUUGCAGCUAUAUAUAGUCUACACUAGACUAUCCAAAAACAUUUUCACUUCACUUCACUUCACCUACUGGACAAAUGGACCACUGAAAAAAUGGACAUGCCUGUAAGAGAUUUUAAGGACCUGAACGAAGCUUGUGGCGUAAUCAAAUGAAACUUCAGGAAACCACAUCAAACAUCUCAGUGCCCAGCUGCUAAAUCACUGAGGAACAGAAAGCAGGACGAUGUGGGUUUGUGAAUGCGACCCUCUGUUGUGGUGGUGUGCUGCAGGCAGAUGUUUGUCGUGUUGCGCCGUCCUCCUGUGUGGCCCGUCGGUACACAGAUACUGCGGAGAAACAGACACGCACAGAUGGCGAGGAGCGUGAGGAGAGUCCAUCAGCCGCUGCAGCAGUUUCAAGUUACAGUUUUCAACAAAUUCUGCCGAAGAUGAUUGAUUGCUGGAGUCCAUGUAAGAGCUCAAUCAGCCCAGCAGUGAGCGCAGUCGAGUCUGGACUUGUUGAUUAACCGGAGGGCCGGAGCUGCGGGGCGGUGGACGCAUUAUGUUGGAGUCAUGUGGAUUAAAGCUGAGCUGAUCUGAUAUGAGGCCGAUCCUACAGACGGAAGAGAGCACUUUAUUGGCUUUAUCAUCACAAACCACCGGCUACACCGCAAUCAGAUCAAUCUGCUGUUCUCAUCCCUCCUCUACAGAGAUCCUACAGACCUGAGGAAAGGUUUAUUGCUCAGAGGUUGUGCUUCAUACGGAGAGCAGCUCAGGUCAUUUGACCUUGGGAGAAUUUGAUGAGAAAUGUUUGAGUUCAUAUUGAGAUCUCUGACUUUUGAUUGCAGACUUGUUGAGAUCUCUUGUGAACCUCUAGACGAGAAAUAUGUAAUCUUGUUCUCUUUUGCAUGAAAUGAUAUUCACAACCUGUUUUACUUCCAGUUUUCCUCCACUGACACCAUUUUGAGGAGGCUUUUUGAUCGGCAUGUGGAGCAUCUCGUUGUAUCCCAAUGGUAAUGGCGAUAUUAUUGCUGUUAUUUCUUUUACAUCGAGUUUUGUAUUGUAUAAAAACCCUGCUGCCUCCCUCACUGGAAUGAAUAAAAUAUCCAUUGUCAUUGUCUUCAGCCACAGGCAACAUGGUGAAGCUCUGAAUCAAAAAACACGUUUAUCUGUUUUUAUUAAACCUCUGUAGCCAACAUCCCA